rnacentral:rRNA from 1 species
CCUACGGGCGGCAGCAGUGAGGAAUAUUGGUCAAUGGACGAGAGUCUGAACCAGCCAAGUAGCGUGAAGGAUGACUGCCCUAUGGGCGGUAAACUUCUUUUGUGCGGGAGCAAUAAUGGUCACGUGUGGCCAGACGAGAGUACCGUACGAAUAAGCAUCGGCUAACUCCGUGCCAGCAGCCGCGGUAAUACGGGGGAUGCAAGCGUUAUCCGGAUUUAUUGGGUUUAAAGGGUGCGUAGGCUGUGAGGUAAGUCAGCGGUGAAAUGCCACCGCUCAACGGGGUGAAGUGCCAUUGAUACUGCCUUGCUGGAAUACGGAUGACGUGGGAGGAAUGUGUGGUGUAGCGGUGAAAUGCAUAGAUAUCACACAGAACACCGAUUGCGAAGGCAUCUCACGAAUCCGCGAUUGACGCUGAUGCACGAAAGCGUGGGUAUCAAACAGGAUUAGAUACCCUGGUAGUC